CCCCUAGAUGUUCUGGGCCGCACGCGCGCUACACUGAACAGUUCAACAAGUCUUAACCUUGGCCGAUAGGUCUGGGUAAUCUUUGAACGCUGUUCGUGAUUGGGAUAGACCUUUGCAAUUAUGGGUCUUCAACGAGGAAUUCCUAGUAAACGCAAGUCAUCAGCUUGCAUUGAUUACGUCCCUGCCCUUUGUACACACCGCCCGUCGCACCUACCGAUUGGGUGAUCCGGUGAAUUGCUUGGAACAGCUACGGUGUUCAUUGAACGCUGUGGAGGUGAAAAGUUGUAAACCUUAUCACUUAGAGGAAGGAAAAGUCGUAACA
rnacentral:rRNA from 1 species